AGUCCAUGAUGGGAACACAAGCUCAAUAAUUCUUUAAAUCUAUCCCAGGUGUCACACAAAGAAUCUCCUUUCUUUUAAGCAAAAUUAGUGAUUUGAUUCCUAAGUUG